UACAGAGGGUGCAAGCGUUAAUCGGAAUUACUGGGCGUAAAGGGUGCGUAGGUGGCGCCGUAAGUCAGGUGUGAAAUCUCGGGGCUCAACCCCGAAACUGCACUUGAUACUGCGGUGCUCGAGUACUGGAGAGGAGAUUGGAAUUUACGGUGUAGCAGUGAAAUGCGUAGAUAUCGUAAGGAAGACCAGUGGCGAAGGCGAAUCUCUGGACAGUUACUGACACUGAGGCACGAAGGCCAGGGGAGCAAACGGG
rnacentral:rRNA from 1 species